GACGAACGCUGGCGGCGUGCUUAACACAUGCAAGUCGAACGGAAAGGCCUGCUUUCCCUUGUGGAUUGCGGGUGCUCGAGUGGCGAACGGGUGAGUAAUACGUGAGUGAUCUGCCCCCAACUUGGGUAUAAGCCUGGGAAACUGGGUCUAAUUCCCGAUAGGACUGCAGGGUGGUGCCUGUGGUGGAAAACGAUUUUCUAGUGGUUGGGGAUGAGCUCGCGGCCUAUCAGCUUGUUGGUGGGGUAAUGGCCUACCAAGACGGCGACGGGUAGCCGGCCUGAGAGGGUGGACGGCCACAUUGGGACUGAGAUACGGCCCAGACUCCUACGGGAGGCAGCAGUGGGGAAUAUUGCACAAUGGGCGGAAGCCUGAUGCAGCGACGCCGCGUGGGGGAUGACGGCCUUCGGGUUGUAAACUCCUUUCGACCGCGAGGAAGCCACCUGGUUGGAAGGGUGGUGACGGUAGUGGUAGAAGAAGCACCGGCUAACUACGUG
rnacentral:rRNA from 1 species